GAUGAAUGCUGGCGGCGUGCCUAAUACAUGCAAGUCGAGCGGUAACAGGCUUUCACUGUUUACUUCUCUCGGUUCGAUUUUUAUCGAAAAGAGAAUGAGGAGUAAAGAGUGAAAGUGCUGACGAGCGGCGGACGGCUGAGUAACGCGUGGGAACAUGCCCCAAAGUGAGGGAUAAGCAUCGGAAACGGUGUCUAAUACCGCAUAUGGUCUUCGGAUUAAAGG
rnacentral:rRNA from 1 species